UAGAAUAUGAGGUUAGUGGCAAACGGGUGAGUAUAAAAUACGAAUGUACUUUGAAGCGGAGGAUAGCCCACCGAAAGGUGGAGUAAUACUCUAUAAUGUCUCCGGACUAAAGACGCAAGUCACUUCGAAAGCAGCGUAUUCGCUACCAGCUAGUUGGCGGGGUAAAGCCCACCAAGGCUAUGACGGCUACCGGCUCUUAGCGGAGAGUCCGGCACAAUGGGACUGAGACACGGCCCAUACACCUACGGGUGGCAGCAGUUAGGAAUUUUGCGCAAUGGACGAAAGUCUGACGCAGCGAUACCGCGUGAAGGAUGAAGUCUCUCGGGAUGUAAACUUCUUUUAGGGAAUCAUGAAGAUUCUCAGAAUAAGCAGCUACAAACUAUGUGCCAGCAGUCGCGGUAAUACAUAGGCUGCAAGCGUUAUCCGGAUUUAUUGGGCGUAAAGAGUCUGUAGGCGGUUGCCUAAGUCUUGUUUCAAAGACCUCGACUUAAUCGAGGAAAGGGGCAAGAUACUGGACAACUAGAGUGAUAUCGGGGUUACUGGAAUUUGUAGUGUAGGGGUUAAAUCCGUGGAUACUACAAAGAACACCAAGCGCGAAGGCGGGUAACUAGGUAUAUACUGACGCUGAGAGACGAAAGCUAGGGAAGCAAAUCAGAUUAGGGACCUGAGUAGUCCUAGCCGUAAACGAUGUCUGUUAAUUUUCCCUGAUUUAUCGGGGGAGAUGUAAGCUAACGCGUUAAGCAGACCGCCUGGGGAGUAUAGCCGCAAGGCCGAAACUCAAACGAAUUGGCGGGGAGGUGCACAACCAGUGGAGCAUGUGGUUUAAUUCGAUAAUAAGCGAUGAACCUUACCUGGGCUUGAAAUAUACCUGCAGAUCUAUGAAAGUAGAAGUCCUUCGAGGGUGGUAUACAGCUGUUGCAUGGCUGUCGUAAGCUCGUGACGUGAGUUGUUCUCUUAAGUGAGGUAGCGAGCGCAACCCCUAUUCGGUGUUAUUUUGCCACCGAAGACUGCCUAGCAUUAUUUUUGUUAGGAGGAAGGAGGGGACGACGUCAAGUCAUCAUGAUGCCUAUGUCCAGGGCUACACACAUCCUACAAUGGAUUGUACAGAGGGUUGCAAUACCGCGAGGUGGAGCUAAUCCCUAAAACAAUCCUCAGUUGGGAUUGCAGGCUGAAAUUCGCCUGCAUGAACCCGGAGUUGGUAGUAAUCGCACAUCAGCAGAGUGCGGUGAAUACGUUCUCACCUCUUGCACACACUGCCCGUCAAAUCAGCAAAGUUGGGGGGUACCCAAAGCUCAGAUUAGUCUGGGUUAAGGUAAAUCCAGCGAUGAGGGAUAAGUCGUAACAAGGUA
rnacentral:rRNA from 1 species